rnacentral:rRNA from 1 species
GAUUAAGUUAUUAAGGGCGCACGGUGGAUGCCUUGGCACUAGAAGCCGAUGAAGGACGUUACUAACGACGAUAUGCUUUGGGGAGCUGUAAGUAAGCUUUGAUCCAGAGAUUUCCGAAUGGGGAAACCCAGCAUGAGUUAUGUCAUGUUAUCGAUAUGUGAAUACAUAGCAUAUCAGAAGGCACACCCGGAGAACUGAAACAUCUUAGUACCCGGAGGAAGAGAAAGAAAAUUCGAUUCCCUUAGUAGCGGCGAGCGAAACGGGAAGAGCCCAAACCAACAAGCUUGCUUGUUGGGGUUGUAGGACACUCUAUACGGAGUUACAAAGGACGACAUUAGACGAAUCAUCUGGAAAGAUGAAUCAAAGAAGGUAAUAAUCCUGUAGUCGAAAAUGUUGUCUCUCUUGAGUGGAUCCUGAGUACGACGGAGCACGUGAAAUUCCGUCGGAAUCUGGGAGGACCAUCUCCUAAGGCUAAAUACUCUCUAGUGACCGAUAGUGAACCAGUACCGUGAGGGAAAGGUGAAAAGCACCCCGGAAGGGGAGUGAAAUAGAACCUGAAACCGUGUGCUUACAAG